UACGUAGGGCGCAAGCGUUAUCCGGAAUUAUUGGGCGUAAAGAGCUCGUAGGCGGUUUGUCGCGUCUGCUGUGAAAACGCGAGGCUCAACCUCGCGCCUGCAGUGGGUACGGGCAGACUAGAGUGCGGUAGGGGAGAUUGGAAUUCCUGGUGUAGCGGUGGAAUGCGCAGAUAUCAGGAGGAACACCGAUGGCGAAGGCAGAUCUCUGGGCCGUUACUGACGCUGAGGAGCGAAAGCGUGGGGAGCGAACAGG
rnacentral:rRNA from 1 species